UACGAAGGGGGCUAGCGUUGUUCGGAUUUACUGGGCGUAAAGCGCACGUAGGCGGAUCGUUAAGUCGGGGGUGAAAUCCUGGAGCUCAACUCCAGAACUGCCUUCGAUACUGGCGAUCUUGAGUCCGGAAGAGGUGAGUGGAACUCCUAGUGUAGAGGUGGAAUUCGUAGAUAUUAGGAAGAACACCAGUGGCGAAGGCAGCCCCCCUGGGCGAACUACUGACGCUCAUGCACGAAAGCGUGGGUAGCAAACAGGAUUAG
rnacentral:rRNA from 1 species